UCCCUCUGAAGUAUCUGUGAUGGUGUCCAUGUCAACCCCUGCUUCUGAAGUGAAGGUGUUGUCAGGUACUUAAGGCCGUUGCUAUGGAGUUGCUAGGGUGUUGUGUGUGGCCGUGUGCCGCUGCCGUGUGAUUGGCUGAGGGUUUAUUUGAUCUGAGCAGGUGCUGGUGUCUGGUGUUCACACUGAUCUGAGCACGCACUCACUCCACGUGUCACACACACUCCAUGACUGCUCUGCGACACACACACACUCUCAGGGAGCUGCAGAACACACUGUACAGCGGCCGGAGGAGCGGGAACCAUGUGGAUGAAGUCUGGGAAAACCUCUAUCUGGGGGACAUGGCGUGUGUUCGUGCACUGUGCAGUGGGUGUGAGCCGCUCGGCGUCUCUGGUUCUGGCGUUCUUCAUCCUCCAUCAUCAUCUCUCUCUGCUGGACGCCAUCAGGACCGUACAGCAGCACCGCUGGAUCUUCCCUAACCGGGGCUUCCUGCGACAGCUGCAGGCGCUGGAGGACAAACACACACACACACACACACACACACCAGUGAGGAACACACCUGUGGAACAGUAGUGAUGGCCCGCACACACACUCGCAGCAGCAGCAGCAGUCAGUAUCUGUCCGUCAGAGAUCUGGAGAGAAUGCUGGACUCCUGCAAACUCAACCUGCACCAGAUCGACGAGGUCUGGCCAAACCUCUACAUCGGCAACGUGUGAGUAAAGCUCACACACACACACACACAGACACACACACACAGUAAAGCCUGCUGUCGACUGACACUGCAAAGAGGACUGGAACUAUUUUAAGCUCUUUCAGAGACGAAGCAGUUGAGCCGACUGGUCAAAACAGCAGUGCUUUACCAUGUUCAUAUGGAGGCUUUGCUCAAUGAUCCUGUGUUUUCAGACGACUGCUGGUCUGAUGUGUGCAUGAGUGCCGACACAUCACUGCACACAUCACUGAUGAUGAUCUGAAUAUACAGAGCAUAUCUACUGUGUGGUGUUGAAUGGAGAAACUGUAUUGCAUAUUUUAAUAAGAGUUUAAUAAGAGUUUAAUAAGAGUUUAAUAAGAGUUUAAUAAGAGUUUAAUAAGAGUUUAAUAAGACUGCUGUUUUCAUUUAAGUUAGAAUAUUUAGUAUGAAUAAAUGUAAACCAUGUUUUAAUUAAAUUACACUUAAAUUAAACCAGAAAUAUUUCAGUCCACUGAUCUACAGUCGACUGAUAUCUGAUGUGAUGUAGUGAACGAAAACGAAAAUGAUGCAGAAGACUAAAAUAUGACUGAACUAAACCAAAAAUUACUGUCAGAAUUAACACUAGUGUGUGUGUGCGUGUGUGUUUGUGGUUUGUGUUUGUGUGUGUGUG